GCCAAAGGCAGAGUGUCAAUUUUAUAACCAUAGAUAUCAUGUAACUAUUAUAAGUGUUAUAUGAUGAUUCUAUGAUUAUAACAUAUUUUGUGAUCUGAUAUCUAGUCGACAGGUGGCGCUAAAAUAAUCGCCAUCUUAAUUUCUCGAACAAAGAAACCAACGUAAUUCUCAAAUUCAAAAGGACUGAAAGGAAGAAUACAAAAUUAAAUAUUACAGGGGAAGCGUCCACCUUGUCUCCUGGUAUCAGGAGAUCAGACCGGUUACCAGGGUGUCAGGAUAUCUGAGCGGUUUCAUCAUAAUAGCAGGAGAGCCUAUAUAGGAAUUCUACAAGUGUGACGAGGCAGUCUACGAAGCAAAACACGUGGUCGUAACUUGAACGCCAGACAGGGUAGACACCUGACGUGUGUGACCAGUACGUGGCAGCUUUCUCUGGAGCACGAUGGAGUACGUGAGAAUUAAUACCGGGCAAAAUCCAUAUCAGUGCAAGCUGUGUGAUGCUGCCUUCUCCUGUCUGAGUAGUGUGAAGAUACAC